ACUCAUACCUUUUAGGGGAAAUACCAUGUUAGAAAAUGGUUUUCCCAGGGGGAGGCUGAUCCAUUGCACUUUGGGUGUGCUGUUGACCCCUGUGAUUUCCACAAAUGUGGGGAACUCAAUUAUAUAAUUUGUGUUAAUGGGGGCAUUAUGUUUGUGAUUUCUGU
rnacentral:snRNA from 1 species